UAUAUGUAGCACAGGCUACUACAGCGAAUUUCUGCAUUCCCAGCAGCCCUCUGGAUGUGAGAAAUUAAGAAUAAGAUUAACUGCCAUAUUUC